GCAAACUUGGUCAUUUAGAGGAAGUAAAAGUCGUAACAAGGUCUCCGUUGGUGAACCAGCGGAGGGAUCAUUACAGAGUUAUUAAAACUCCAAAACCCAUUGCGAACCUACCUAUGUUGCCUCGGCAGGACCUACCCGGUACCUACCCCGGAGCUACCCUGUAGUUACCCUGUAAUUGCUGGGUGGCCUGCCGAAGGACUUGAAACUCUGUUUUAUUGUGUGAUUCUGAGUAAACUGAAACUGAAUAAGUUAAAACUUUCAACAACGGAUCUCUUGGUUCUGGCAUCGAUGAAGAACGCAGC
rnacentral:misc_RNA from 1 species